AAUGAAUAUUUCUACUAUUAUUAUUAUUUAGUCAUAGUUAUCUUGAUAUUUUAAUUAAAGCACUUAAAAGAUAAUGCAUAAAUCAAAUGAAAUAAAUCAAAAUGUAUAAGAAAGAGGUGAAGCCCCCAAAAUAACCAUCCCAAAAAAAACAAAAGUGAGCCUUAAACAAUAGAAGAAUUCGUAAUGGGCCCUAAGCCCGGACCCCAUGCAUUCAAUCAAUUAGCAGAACGACAGGCAGCUGUACAGCUGCCCUGCGCAUGCAUUCAUAAAUGGCCUUCCCAACAGCAUGACACGUGGGAACAAUGACUGAAGCCAUUAAAGAGGCGCGCGGGUUCUCCCUCGAUGCGAGAGAUUUGACAGCAUCACACUAAUGCAUUAAAUUGCUUUAAUUCAUAAUGAAAUAGAUGAAAAGCAAAGAGAUAGAACGGUAAAGCUUCUAGCAGAAGCAAUUUGUAAACAUCACUUUUCCUCUCUUGCCUCAAACACCUCCCUCUCUCUCUCUCUACUCUCUCUCUCUCUACACAUCUCAAACGAACAAAACCUUUUUUCAUCAACCUGUAAUCCCUUCACCUUUUAUGACUAAAACCCCAUUUAUGCCAAAAAAACGGGACACUCAAAUUUCUAUAGCCAAAGAUGAACACCUCAUGGUGUUCUUCAUCAAACCCUUAGCAUAGCCAUACCCAAAAUGACUUCUGAUUUCAACAAGGAAAUCCACGAAAAGAACCACAACCAAACAAACAUCACAUCCAAACCUAAAUCAGAACUUAGAUCUAUCAUCAAAUUUUUAUGAAUCACAACAAAACUUCUUCCGAAUCUACAACGAUUUAGGUUUGAUUCAGACGUAUCAUCAACAAAAACAUCAGAUCAAACAUACAAAUGGUUGCUACAUGAUGUGAGAACUGCCUCAGAGAGGUCGAAAUAAAGAGUAAAGGAUGUCGUCAUAGCUUUGCGACUCCGGCGAGACUCCGACGAACAUUUACCUCGGGUGUGUACGAGCUUUCCUCUCGUUAGCUUAGUCUUAGGUCUUCCUUCUUCUUAUCCUUUCUUCUUUAUUGAUCAGGUGUUGUUUCUAUUGUGUAGUGGCUUACCUCAGUUUACUCGAAGUUCUGACGAUGAAAUUUGAGUACACUUUGGGUGCUUCGAGCUUUGGUGAUCAGGUUUGGGUGAAAUCUCAGCAGAGUAACGGCGCUAGUCCAGGUGAUUUUUGACCUUCGCCUAAACCCCAUUUUAUAGAGUUUUGCACGAGAUUCUUUCUGUCUUAUCUUUCAUGAGUUGGCCAAUGAAUCCAUGAAUCAGGUCGUUACGAACAAAUCCUUCGUAGAUUUCGUGUGGUCCUUCACAUGAGAGUGGCAAGAAAUGAAUUUGUUUGUGGUCCCCAAUCUCCAAACGCGUGGUCUCGUGCUGAAUUGUUACCGUUUGUAAAGUACGCAUUUGUUGUGGUAAAAAAUUAACUUUUACUGCUGCGAAAAAAAAAUCCAAAAAAUGACGUAUGACUUUGAUUAUUUUGAAAAAACACUUCUUGGUGCUUAGUGUUUACAACAGAAACAUUGUUGCAUUAUGUUGGUGUGUGUGAAAUAUGUAAGUAUGGUGGAAUUUUAGGAUUGUAGACUAUAGUGUAAUCAAUCUUGUUUGUUGCUCAAUUUGGAUUUGAAACUUCCUUCAUACGCACAAUUCAGGCCGUGGUUGGUCUUUAAAGGUGGUUAUGGAAGUGUAUAAUGGUAAUGUUUUGGAAGUUCAUGUAAUUGGUUCACAUUACAUGGUCCGUUUGGUUCUGGUGCAGGUUUUGGUUAAUGCUCAUUCUGUCAUUGGUUUAAGUGACAUAACCAUGUUUUAGGUUCAUGUUAUGCCUUUCUAGAUUUCCCCUGUGUAGUGCACUUUAGCCUUAUGGUUGCUAUGUAUUGAUUAUGACUCAAAAUGUAUUGUAACUAGGAUUUCAUCUACAUGUAUCAUGACAUUGCCAUUCCCACUUCGUUCUUGCUCUGCUCACGUUUUUAUUUUCUUGCAGGUUAUACACAUAAUGUUUAGACAGUCGUGGCAUUUAAGAUCGGAUUUCGAAGCAUGCACCUGCCAAUGGCCUAACAUAAUGGGACUUUUAAAGAUAUGCUUAGGAUGGGGACCUGAAGAAAGGAGCGCAAGGAAUUGCCAUGUUUAGAUGACAAGUUGUUUCAAGCUUAAACAUUUGCCUUUGACAUGUAAUUACGCCUUUGGAUCUUAGGCUAGGAUUUGUGAGGUUCUGUCAAUGAAAAUUUUAAUUUAUCCCUUUUUAUCAACGGAAUUCAGCACUAUCGUGCACAUGAAAGAAAAUGUCUUUGUAAAUCCAAAUUAAUGAUUCCUAGUGGCUUUAUUACGAAGUCCAUGGGAAAUGGUUUCACUUUCCUUCCUUCAGGGAUUAACAUUUAAACAUAAGUUCUUAUGAAAACUCUCAAAUUAGGACCAAAACACACAUGUCCUAGGUCCUCCACUGUUAGUUCUUUUGAUAUUGGCCAAUGUGAGCAUGAAAGAUAUAUGUUCAAUACAAAUGUUUACCAUGAGAUGUAAUGCACCAAUCUUAGAAACCAAACAAAAAGAUUUAAGUAACAAACACGCAAUCUUCACUCGC
rnacentral:lncRNA from 1 species